GAUGAACGCUGGCGGCGUGCCUAAUACAUGCAAGUCGAGCGAACAGAUGAGGAGCUUGCUCCUCUGACGUUAGCGGCGGACGGGUGAGUAACACGUGGUUAACCUACCUAUAAGACUGGGAUAACUUCGGGAAACCGGAGCUAAUACCGGAUAAUAUAUUGAACCGCAUGGUUCAAUAGUGAAAGACGGUUUUGCUGUCACUUAUAGAUGGAUCCGCGCCGCAUUAGCUAGUUGGUAAGGUAACGGCUUACCAAGGCAACGAUGCGUAGCCGACCUGAGAGGGUGAUCGGCCACACUGGAACUGAGACACGGUCCAGACUCCUACGGGAGGCAGCAGUAGGGAAUCUUCCGCAAAGGGCGAAAGCCUGACGGAGCAACGCCGCGUGAGUGAUGAAGGUCUUCGGAUCGUAAAACUCUGUUAUUAGGGAAGAACAAAUGUGUAAGUAACUAUGCACGUCUUGACGGUACCUAAUCAGAAAGCCACGGCUAACUACGUG
rnacentral:rRNA from 1 species